CCCUUAGAUGUUCUGGGCCGCACGCGCGCUACACUGAUGCAUUCAACGAGUUUCUUCCUGGUCCGAGAGGAAUGGGUAACCUUUUGAAAGUGCAUCGUGAUAGGGAUAGACUAUUGCAAUUAUUCGUCUUCAACGAGGAAUUCCUAGUAGACGUAGUUCAUCAGACUGCAUCGAUUACGUCCCUGCCCUUUGUACACACCGCCCGUCGCUCCUACCGAUUGAAUGCUCAGGUGAGCCAUUCGGACUUUCAUCAUGCUGGUUUCCAGUUUUGAUGAAGGAAAGUCUUGCGAACCUUAUCAUUUAGAGGAAGGAGAAGUCGUAACA
rnacentral:rRNA from 1 species